AGCACAGAAAAUACAGCCUACUACGCAUCUAGGCUAUAUGGUCUAGCCUACUGCUCCUAGGCUACAAACCUGUACAGCAUGUUACUGAAUACUGACUAUUGCAGG